UACGUAGGGGGCGAGCGUUGUCCGGAUUCAUUGGGCGUAAAGCGCGUGUAGGCGGCCCGGUAAGUCCGCUGUGAAAGUCGGGGGCUCAACCCUCGGAUGCCGGUGGAUACUGUCGGGCUCGAGUACGGAAGAGGCGAGUGGAAUUCCUGGUGUAGCGGUGAAAUGCGCAGAUAUCAGGAGGAACACCAAUUGCGAAGGCAGCUCGCUGGGACGUUACUGACGCUGAGACGCGAAAGCGUGGGGAGCAAACAGG
rnacentral:rRNA from 1 species